GGGGGCGCUUGGUGCAGAGUCCGGUCCGAGCAACUGGACUGGCGAGUUCAAUUCUCGUCGCCUCCA
rnacentral:tRNA from 1 species